rnacentral:rRNA from 1 species
UUAGAUCAGAAGCGAGAAUGUUGACAUGAGUAGCGAUAAAGAGGGUGAGAGACCCUCUCGCCGUAAGUCCAAGGGUUCCUGCUUAAAGCUAAUCUGAGCAGGGUAAGCCGGCCCCUAAGGCGAGGCCGAAAGGCGUAGUCGAUGGGAACCACGUUAAUAUUCGUGGGCCAGAAGGAAGUGACGGAUCUCGAAGGUAGUUUGCCCUUAUCGGAUUGGGUGGGCUGCUCAGAGGUUCCAGGAAAUAGCCCUCCAUCAGACCGUACCCUAAACCGACACAGGUGGACUGGUAGAGUAUACCAAGGCGCUUGAGAGAACCACGUUAAAGGAACUCGGCAAAAUGCCUCCGUAAGUUCGCGAGAAGGAGGCCCCAUAUCUGGGCAACCAGGUGUGGGGGGCACAAACUAGGGGGUGGCGACUGUUUACUUAAAACACAGGGCUGUGCGAAGCCGUAAGGCGACGUAUACAGUCUGACGCCUGCCCGGUGCUGGAAGGUUAAAAGGAGGGGUGCAAGCUCUGAAUUGAAGCCCCAGUAAACGGCGGCCGUAACAAUAACGGUCCUAAGGUAGCGAAAUUCCUUGUCGGGUAAGUUCCGACCUGCACGAAUGGCGUAACGAUCUCCCCGCUGUCUCUAACGUGGACUCAGCGAAAUUGAACUGUGUGUCAAGAUGCACACUACCCGCGGUUAGACGGAAAGACCCCAUGCACCUUUACUCCAGCUUUGCACUGGUAUCAGGAUUGUGAUGUGCAGGAUAGGUGGUAGGCAUCGAAGCGGGGACGCCAGUUCUCGUGGAGCCUCCCUUGGGAUACCACCCUUCGCCAUCUUGAUAUCUAACCGCGGCCCGUUAUCCGGGUCCGGGACCCUGCAUGGUGGGGAGUUUGACUGGGGCGGUCGCCUCCCAAACAGUAACGGAGGCGCGCGAAGGUAGGCUCAGACCGGUCGGAAAUCGGUCGUUGAGUGCAAUGGCAGAAGCCUGCCUGACUGCAAGUCUGACAAGACGAGCAGAGACGAAAGUAGGUCAUAGUGAUCCGGUGGUCCCAAGUGGGAGGGCCAUCGCUCAACGGAUAAAAGGUACGCUGGGGAUAACAGGCUGAUGAUGCCCAAGAGUCCAUAUCGACGGCAUCGUUUGGCACCUCGAUGUCGGCUCAUCUCAUCCUGGGGCUGGAGCAGGUCCCAAGGGUAUGGCUGUUCGCCAUUUAAAGAGGUACGUGAGCUGGGUUUAGAACGUCGUGAGACAGUUCGGUCCCUAUCUGCCGUGGGUGUAGGAGACUUGAGAAGAGUUGCCCCUAGUACGAGAGGACCGGGGUGAACGAACCACUGGUGGACCAGUUGUCGUGCCAACGGCAGUGCUGGGUAGCUAUGUUCGGACAGGAUAACCGCUGAAGGCAUCUAAGCGGGAAGCCCCCUUCAAAACAAGGUCUCCCUUGAGAGCCGUGGAAGACCACCACGUCGAUAGGCCGGAGGUGUAAGUGCAGCAAUGCAUUCAG